UGUCAGCCCCUUCGCGGCGAUAGAAUGUUAACCCCGUCAGGCCUGGAAGGGAGCAGCGGUAUCAUUCAAAUCGGGUGCCGAAGUGUGGCUGACAUUU
rfam:Bacterium TMED178 isolate TMED178 MHASMcontig_312752, whole genome shotgun sequence.